CCGAACUCCCCAUAGCUACAGUGAGUCGCAGUAGGGCUGCCGGCUACGGGCCACCUCGACAGGACGUGGGCAAACCUACUCGCCGUCCACCGGUCUCAAUCCCAUCGCCCAUCGGCCAUGGCAAGUAGGAAUCUAUUCGGCAGCCUAUUCCUUCGCCGCCCACCUACUUCCCCGUCUCCCAACGGACCCUUCCCUUCUCCGCAAGAAAACACCGGAGAACAGGGGGCUCCUUCCCAUCUCCCUCACCCUCUCACAGUCACUAAUAGUGAUCAAACCCUCCCAGCUCUUUCUGAUCCCUCCUUCGUGCGCUCUUGGAAGAGGGGAGGGAAGAAUCCUCCCGCGGCCCCGCCUGAUAGACGAAUCUGUGAUUCUUGCUCGUUGAGUGGACUCUGAAACCGUAAAGGGAUUCUUGGUGCUCGCCGCGCCUGCCUCGCAGGUCGCACUAUAUUUUUUUUAUUGACUGGUUGAAAGCCAUAGUUAGAGCACCAUCAGUUCUUUUCCCUGAUCUCUAGCAUCCGAAAGCUAUUUGGACCAGCCACUGUUGCAGUCCCGCAUGCUACACUGAUGAUAGACACAAGAUCUAUGUUCAGAAUGGUUUGGCUUAGGUUUGAUUGAAGGAACAAGUCCGAUAGGCCAGCCAUGUGCUGAACGUUUUGUAUCAAUGGAAGGAUAUGAACGAUAUAUUUGGUUGCAGCCUCAAAGAGAUCACAACCAUACUCCAUCCCAAAUCCUCUCAUAACAAUGGUGUUCCAUAAUGUUUCUUGACUUUCCAAAUCCAUUCCAAUAAGCAUGCUAAGGACUUUUCUAUCCAUGAGGACCAUGCUGACAAGGUUUCACAGUAGUUUCUUACUUUCUAGGUCUCGAAAAUGAUACACCUGCUUUUGAUGCUUCUGCACUUCAACUAAUCGCUUGCAGAUACACUCUUGUAUUAGAGAGAUCCUGUGCGAUAGCAAAAUAUCUGCAACUGCCAUAUUACACUUGCAAGUGUCUCAAAAGUACCACAUUUGUAGUUUAAAGUGCAACAGUUUCAAACAUUAUGAUGUGGCUUCGUCUAAUCAUUGUGAUAGGGCAUCUUGUGCCACACACAAAGCAGCCAGCUGACUGGUUUAACCUCUGAAAUUACAUCCAUUAGUUGUGUUUUUCGCACCAGGCUAAUGGUGCUGCAGAAAAACUGGUGAAAUGGGAUGAUGAUCUGCUGCAUCUGUCUAUGUUCAUCAAGAUGUGGUGGUUCUUAUAGUUCGUGGCUGAAAUCUACGAGAUGACGUGGGUAGAAAAACUUGGAGGAAAUGGAUUUCAUGGUCCAAGACACUAUUGCAGGGUUUACAAUCUUCUCUAAUGGCGUGAACUGAGACCCAAUUGUCCAUUGCCCAUUAUUGUUUCCUUCUGUCUAUCAAAGAUCUUUAUACCAAAUUACUUUCAUCAUUUUGAUAAUUUGUAAUAAUCAUCAUUUAUUAUAUUUUUAUAUAGAAUUACCAAUUAUUUUGGACUUUAAAUUCUCUAAUUGAAAUGGAAAGAUUUUCCUACACAAUGGGAUACCUGUUCUCAUCCCUUUCAUAUACAUAGAGAAACACUUAUUAUGUGCUAGAGAAACUCUAUCUAUCAUGUGGUGAAUGAGAUUGAAUUUCUCUUUGAAUUGCAAAUCCUCUAUAACACUCAGACCUGAUACUGCCAAGCAAGGUCAUUCUUUGCAGGCACAAUUUCAGUUCAGGCGGGAUCAAAACCAACAGUGGGUGGUUGGUCUGACUUAAUGGGGCAGUCUAGUUUCUAGCUUAAUAGUCAUACCAAUGUUAUCGUUAGCUCAUAUGAUGGUUACCUUUUUGUUUUCUUCUCUUCUCCUUGAUCAGUUAGCCUGAGAGGCCAGUAUGUUACGAUCUUUUUUUACAACUCCUGGAGAUAGCUAGACUACAAUAUAUGUGACCUUUAUUUGUUACUUUGCCAAUGUGGCACUUUUCUUCUACACACAAAAGUCAACAUUUAUGGCCUGUCCUGAUGAGAGAAGAACUUUAUUCAUGGAGCCACGUUUGGAGUCCAAGAAGCUUUUUCAACCAUUUACCUAUUUCACUGGGUCCUUAGGGAUAUCCUCAAAAACUUCAUUGCUUUCUCUCUGUAGCUAGAUUUGCCAACGAUAAGUGAGUUAAAUUAUUUCCUGAAACCAUUCCCUUGGCAGACUCCAUAUUCCAAAGCCAUCCCACAAACUAGCAUUUCAUCUGUCUCCAACUAUUGUGCAUGUCUUGGAUUUUCCGCUUGUAAUCUCUUCCUUGUGACUAGUAAUCUGGCAUAUCAAUUCACUAAUGGAACUAAUUUGACCUACUGCUCACACUGGUUUUUUCGUAGUAUAUUCUGCCAUGUUUCCCAUUCUAAUUCCUUGUUCUUCAUCUACUUCUGAUCCAUCAAUAUCCAGUUACUCUGAUGAAUUAUGAACCUGCAUGAUCUCAACCAUUGCAUAUGAAAAGAUUUGGCAUUUUAGACGUUCCAAUAAUGUCUCCAAGAUUUUCUCUUAGUUCUGAGUUCUAAUUAUUACCAAAAUGUAACUGCUCCUGCCCUACACAAGAACAUGUAAGCUUGCAUUAUUCUUAACAGUAAUAGGACUUUCACAUGAAAAUCAAAAUUUGAUAGUUAAUAUUUGUUAUUAGCUAUGUACAGUAUCCGGCAUUCUUCCGAGCUGUCUGCCACAACUCAUGCUUGUUGCAGUUUUACCAAAUUGAUUGUCCAUAUGACUUUGCUCUGAUUCUCUCCUCUUUGUCUUUUCCACUCAUUUGAAUUUAGACAAGGUUGACAUCUAUAGAUGGGUUGGCAGGCUAGAAGGUACUAGUUGCAUCUUUAAAACAUCUAAAGUUUAAUGCUUAUGAUCAAUCUAAUCAAAAUCCAUUUUCAGCAGGACUUCAGGCAGGGGGCAAAGGAAAACAUAUAUGAUCUAAAGGGGCAGUUAGAUAAAUACGUGAUGCAAAUCAAGUCUACUGCCUGCUGCAAGUUAUAAUGCUUAUGACCAGAUAUUUAUUCUUUUUGCUCAUAAAAAUGAUUAGGUUUCUGUUCUGAAAAUUGAAGUAUUUGAAUUUCCAUGAGUACCUCAGCUGCAUGAAUACAAUCUUGUGCUACCUUUGCUCCUUCCAUCACCAUAAUCAUCCUUGUUGUUCUCAGUCCAUAUGUGAACGCCUUUCUUAUGGGUGCUUGGAAAAGCGGCAGGACAUAGGUGGAGAAGCUAAAUUGCACUUCAACAUUUGGAUGGUCAGAGUUUAACAUGGUAAUGGAGAUUCCCAUGCUCGCAUUGCUUUUCUUUAUCUUAACUUCUUCUUUUUUUUCUUUUCCUUUUUUUUGGUGUGUGCGCGCAUGGCGCAGCCUCAUUUCAAGUCUCUUUUAUUUAUGUGCCUUUGUUUUGAGUCAACAAAGGCUGCAUCUUUGCUGGAUUAGUGACUUGUGGCAAAGUGAUAGGAAAGCCAUCCAUUUUAGCUUAACAGGUAGCUCUAAUAGUACUUUAAAACGAAGCAGCUCUAAAGGUUGUUGGUGUCCUCUGUAGUUCUGUGCAAAUGGCUCGAGUAGAUCCCAUACUUGUAGUGACUAUGAUGUGCUUUAUUUAAGUAGGCAAAUGUUUUAGCUGAUGAUUAUGGUUAAUUGUAACAGUUCAGGGGACCCAGAUUCCUUAAGAAUUGGUUGUGAUAUUCCUUUCUAUCAGUUUAUAUAGUGUGAAAAUUACUACUUGUCUUGUGCUAAAGUUACCUAAGUUAGUAGUUGUUAUAUGUAACUCAUUUAUCAUCAUUACCAUCCAAAUAUGCUAGUGUGCUUGUUUAGUUCUGUGCUAUCAAAGUUAUCUACCUAGCCUGAAUUAAAAAACGUCCCUGCAACUAUGGAUGAUUAGAGGAACACAUUCAUGCACAUAUACACAUGCACAGAAGGAUGUAGUGAUGCAAUAUGUUUCAUGUUCUCUCUAAUCAAUAUUCAUCAUCAUUCUCUCUCAUUUUCCAUUACCAACUUAAUUUCUCUGUUAAAAGAUCAUCAUUCUCAUCAUGAGAUAUGCUCAUAAAUGUUGGGUAUAAACUGGCUCAAAAAACUCAUGAUGGAACACCAAUUAUUCUUGAGCAUCAUAUAUUUUCUAUAUAUCUCUCUCAUCAAUGUCCUUUUCAUUAUCAUCAAAAAUAUCUCAACCUCUAUUAUUGCAAUAUCAUCUUAUAAUGUGCUCCACAUUUUAAACAAGCUAAGAACCAUUGUGAUAGGAACAUCACAAAAAGGGUCUCAGCGACCACUGACCUUUAUAAUGCAUGAACAACAUUCUUCAGAGAUGCUUACAGAAUGAAAUCUAUUUGCCCAAUGGAGUGAUGUUCCAACAACUUCAAAUGCCUUGAAACAAAGAGAGUAACUAACAAUAUAUCGACUUAAAUGUAUCAGCAUAAACUAAUACAAAUGAAAGGAUAGCCUUUACCAGUCAACUUUCCUUUGUUUAUAAUUGGAAUAGAUACCAUGGCAAAAUACUGUAAACAAAAAGCAGUGCAAGACAAGCUUUCUUCUGACAUUUGGAUGGACAUGGUUGAAAAUUAUGACAUAAACAACAAUGCUUAAUAUUAUCUAGUACGAAUUAUAUCUUAUCAAGGCUUGAGUCUGCCUAAACUGAAGUCCUUUAAGUAUGCAUGUCUCCUUUGGAGUCAACAAAGGCGGUGAUUUUAAAUGGACUAGCGACUGCCGAAAAUGAGAUAAAGGACGACUAAGCUCUUGGAUUGGUGACUGUCUUUUUGAGCACGACUAUGGUGUGCAAUCUUCUUUUUUUUU